rnacentral:rRNA from 1 species
UACGUAGGCAGCAAGCGUUGUUCGGAGUUACUGGGCGUAAAGAGUACGUAGGCGGUUUGCUAAGUCUGGUGUGAAAUCUCCUGGCUUAACUGGGAGGGUGCGCUAGAUACUGGCAGGCUUGAGUAUGGGAGAGGAGAGUGGAAUUCCUGGUGUAGCGGUGAAAUGCGUAGAUAUCAGGAGGAACGCCGGUGGUGUAGACGGCUCUCUGGACCAUUACUGACGCUGAGGUACGAAAGCGUGGGUAGCAAAC